rnacentral:rRNA from 1 species
UCCUCCCUCUGGCGGCGUGCUUAACACAUGCAAGUCGAACGCUGAACCCGCUUCGGUGGGGGAUGAGUGGCGAACGGGUGAGUAACACGUGGGCAACCUGCCCCCGGCUCUGGGAUAACUCCAAGAAAUUGGGGCUAAUACCGGAUGUGACCGCUGGCCGCAUGGUCUGGUGGUGGAAAGGGUUUCCGGCUGGGGAUGGGCCCGCGGCCUAUCAGCUUGUUGGUGGGGUAGUGGCCUACCAAGGCGACGACGGGUAGCCGGCCUGAGAGGGUGACCGGCCACACUGGGACUGAGACACGGCCCAGACUCCUACGGGAGGCAGCAGUGGGGAAUAUUGCGCAAUGGGCGGAAGCCUGACGCAGCGACGCCGCGUGGGGGAUGACGGCCUUCGGGUUGUAAACCUCUUUCAGCAGGGACGAAGCGCAAGUGACGGUACCUGCAGAAGAAGCACCGGCCAACUACGUG